CAAGUUUUUCAUUGGGUUUAAGUAAGGAGGCCAGAGUAAAGAACUCUUCGGGCUAUACGUGCUGCGAAUUUUAGCGGAUAUGGACUUGGAAGACAUGAACAUGAUCCUUUUGGGCAAGAAUGAUGAUGCGGUUGUCUGUUGUUUUUUCUUCUUCCAUAGUCGUUUUUAAAAGGCUGUUACUCGCGGAUCCCAGGAAAAACGUAGCCAAACUUACCUUGAAAGCCUUUGAUAAUGAAGGAGGUGAACUCUA